UCCACGCAAACGGAAUCAGGCUGUGGCUCUAUUCAACUGGAAUCAAACUGAUAUUCAUUUAUUUAGGGCCACAGGAAAAUAAAGACAAAGAAACCAUCCCAAUCUGACAGCCUAGAGGAAAUCCGAAGGCUGAAACGAGAGUCCCCUAAUGAUGUAAACACUCCCUUUAAUAAAGCACAAAAAUAGUGUCAA